rnacentral:misc_RNA from 1 species
GUCCAUUUUUACAAUCAACUGUGGCACACACAUUUAAGUUACUGUCAAGAUUGAUUCAAAUGUUAUUAACAGAACUAAGAGAAUGUAAUUUAUAUCCUUUCUUGUAAUUUGAUCAUGGAUCACCAAAUAAUCUUGUCAACUAUGAACACCAGAUUGACAUUGAUACCUUCACCCAAAUCUGCAAUAACUUCAGCUUUUUCGAAAAGGAAUCUGGCGAAAUGAAGAA